AUCAAGAGAAUGAGAAUCAGCAGACAACCUCUAUCAUAAUCAUAGAUGAAAAAUCCUAACCAAUAUAUUAGCAAACUGAAUCAAGCUAUAUGUGAAAAGAAUAAUUUAAGUUUCGUGACCAAGUGAAGUUUAAUUCCAAGAGAAGGAAACUGUGAUUACAUAGCAAAAAAUGAGAUGUUUCAAAAUAAUUUUAAAUCAAUAUUUCUCUGGCUCAACAACUGAGAAAUGGCAUCUAAUAUGCAUGCUGCUGAAGUGGGGCUGGCAGUCAAGAACCAGGAAAAUGAAAGAGAACAGAAAACAUCAGAUGCAAAUAAAACUGUGAUGUUUCCCUUGAUCACAUCCCCCAAGAAGAGAAACGUCAAUUCCCAGUGGCCAUGUUUCCUGCUGGAUGAACAAGUCUAUCACAGAGAAAGAGUAAAUGGAGUCAACAGCUAGAGAGAAGCAUAAAUAAAUGACACAGCAAAUAUGAAGAUUGAUGGUAUCUGUGUUCCUGUUCUAACCCCUAUUGGCCUGUGACUGUCCCUGGAUCAUAAGUUGCCGAGACUUGAUUAUCUUCCCCUUUAACUUUGUAAGCUACUCUGAUACACAUCAAUUAAAUUCAUUUUUAUCA